UGGGGAAUAUUGCACAAUGGGCGCAAGCCUGAUGCAGCGACGCCGCGUGAGGGAUGGAGGCCUUCGGGUUGUAAACCUCUUUCGCCAGUGAAGCAGGCCAUCUUCUUUGUGGGGUGGUUGACGGUAGCUGGAUAAGAAGCGCCGGCUAACUACGUGCCAGCAGCCGCGGUAAUACGUAGGGCGCGAGCGUUGUCCGGAAUUAUUGGGCGUAAAGAGCUCGUAGGCGGCUGGUCGCGUCUGUCGUGAAAUCCCCUAGCUUAACUGGGGGCUUGCGGUGGGUACGGGCCGGCUUGAGUGCGGUAGGGGAGACUGGAAUUCCUGGUGUAGCGGUGGAAUGCGCAGAUAUCAGGAGGAACACCGGUGGCGAAGGCGGGUCUCUGGGCCGUUACUGACGCUGAGGAGCGAAAGCGUGGGGAGCGAACAGG
rnacentral:rRNA from 1 species